rnacentral:rRNA from 1 species
UACGUAGGGCGCAAGCGUUGUCCGGAAUUAUUGGGCGUAAAGAGCUCGUAGGUGGCGUGUCGCGUCUGCCGUGAAAGCCCAUGGCUUAACUGUGGGUCUGCGGUGGAUACGGGCAGGCUGGAGGCUGGUAGGGGCAAGCGGAAUUCCUGGUGUAGCGGUGAAAUGCGCAGAUAUCAGGAGGAACACCAGUGGCGAAGGCGGCUAUCUGGGCUGAAACUGACGCUGAGGCGCGAAGGCUAGGGGAGCAAACAGG